rnacentral:rRNA from 1 species
CCUACGGGAGGCAGCAGUGAGGAAUAUUGGUCAAUGGGCGCGAGCCUGAACCAGCCAAGUAGCGUGAAGGAUGACUGCCCUACGGGUUGUAAACUUCUUUUAUAAAGGAAUAAAGUGAGGCACGUGUGCCUUUUUGUCUGUACUUUAUGAAUAAGGAUCGGCUCACUCCGUGCCAGCAGCCGCGGUAAUACGGAGGAUCUGAGCGUUAUCCGGAUUUAUUGGGUUUAAAGUGAGCGUAGAUGGGUUGUUAAGUCAGUUGUGAAAGUGUGCGGCUCAACCGUAAAAUUGCAAUUGAUACUGGCAGUCUUGAGUACAGUUGAGGUAGGCGGAAUGCGUGGUGUAGCGGUGAAAUGCUUAGAUAUCACGAAGAACUCCGAGUGCGAAGGCAGCUUACUAAACUGCCACUGACAUUGAUGCUCGAAAGUGUGGGUAGCAAACAGGAUUAGAUACCCUAGUAGUC